GCCUUGGUGAGGUGAAAUGGUAGACACGCGAGACUCAAAAAUCUCGUGCUAAAGAGCGUGGAGGUUCGAGUCCUCUUCAAGGCA
rnacentral:tRNA from 1 species